rnacentral:tRNA from 1 species
AUUCUUUUAGUAUCAAACAGUACAGCUGACUUCCAAUCAGCUAGUUUCGGUCCAACCCGAAAAGGAAUA